CUUGCAAUUUCCAGUAUAAAGAUUUAUAAUUUCCCUGCUGCGAAUGCAGUGAUGAUUCUGAAUCCUAUGCAGAAUAGUCGUUUUGGACUGGGGGGCGGUACCCCACAGCUCCACCAUUGAAUUUUGACUUUUAUGGGGCUGACAUAGUUUCGACAGGCGCAGUAAAAGCUUAGAGAUGAAUCCGACAUGGUUGUCGUUAAACACUGACUAAAAACUGAAUGGCGAUAGAAUCGCUGCGAACGACAAUGUUCGCCUUGCAAUGGCUGCUUAAUAUAAGCAUUUGAUAUAAUUGGCGAUUGUUGGUUAUAUCUGUUUAGCUUUUGCGGGGUUCGUCGGGUACCUGGCACCAGAAACCC
rnacentral:tmRNA from 1 species